AUACGUGGUCUGGGGUGCCCCAACGGCUGAGAUGAUACCCAUGGAACCUGAUACAGUUAGGACUGUCGCAGGAAGACCGAUCCAAAAUGUU
rnacentral:ncRNA from 2 species